GUCUCUCGCCAACCUAGCCCAUUGUCAACAAAUCCGUGGCAGGAGGUGGGCGGGUCAGGGAAUGUGAACAAUGCGUGAUAUCAGUGUGUGACGGUACCACGGAUCGCAUACAAGCCUCCCCACUGCUAAAGUACUGUAGUGUUCCGUGGUGUGCGUGUGACAACAGUCGAGCCGGACAGUUGUGCAGCGUUGGCCGUGAUUGCGAGGCUGCAUUGUGUUGCUUAUGGCAGAAAAGUGUUUAGCAGUGCUGAGAGUAACUCGCCGCGCAUGAACCACAACACACUGGAGCUACGACUGCAGGCACGUGAGUACUGAGUGUUGCGCGACUCACGGAGCACCUAACCCGAGGAGGCCUUGCAAGUAGAGCAACAAUUUUCAUUAAUACUUCCCGUUUUCUUUGAGUGUUAUCUGUUGCCACUUGUACUCAAAGCGUGGUUAA